UUUCUUCUUUUUCAUUCUUUUUUCCUAAAAUAUCUAAAAGCUCAUAAAAGUGACAGAAUAGGUUGAGAAUUGACCAAUGGAAGUUUUAUUUAACUCAUUGGAUUUAGGAUAAGGGAGGUAUGAAGAACUUCAGGCAUUGUAACAAUGCCUGACAAAUCUUUCAAGCUCGACUUCUACGUUUCAAUUCCUGAUUAUGAAUCAUAUUUCGUACAGAUAGUUUCUUUGCUAAAAUUUUCCAAUUGGUAGAACUAGAUUUUUUUACCAAAUAUUUUCCGGAUUCUACUAAGAAUGUAUUUGUAACCAGAUCUGUGAAAAGAAACCUUCUCUUCCGGAAGAAGAUUUUCCUUGACUUUUUGCAAAUGCAUGGCAAAAGAAAAUCCGGAAUUUUGGCGCAAGUCUGACCUUGACAUAUCAAAAACUGAAAUUCCAAGACUAAAAUUCUUGGGUAGUAGAAAAUCGUGAAUCAAGUGUUGGCAAAGAGAUUAGAAACAUUUUCUUGCAGAGGAUAGGAUCCCUUCUUACAGAUCCUGUCACAUUUUUAUUUUAUGACUUGAAUUUAAGGACUAACAAGGGAACAUCGAUUCAUUUGACGAGAUUUUUUCAAUUUCCAGACAACACUUUUAGUGAAUAUAUUGAGAUUAUGCAAUGCUCCUAUCACUAUUAAGAUCUCAUUGAUUUCUUGUGAUUAUCCCGCCUCUCCUACGAGAUUGAAACUCUGUAACUAAAACCUACAAAUAGUCCUUUCCUAAAUGCCGACUGCCGCCAACCGCUAUUUUUUUCGCGGUCUAAGUAAUUGCUAUGAGCCAAUGGACCAUACGCCAAGUCUUUUUUACAGUUCAUCGAUCAUUUACAUUUUUUAAAAUGAACUUUAUAGUCCUUAAAAUCAAAACCCUGACAUGGAAUCAGACUGUUGUUGAAGUGGUUGGUAAAUGUGGUGAUUAAUAUCAACAAAAACAAUAUGCAAGUCAUAAGUUUGCUUCUAAGAGAUUACAUUUGAGGUACUGAAGUUGUGAAAUAAAGAUGAAGUAAUAGAAAUUAAAAAUUUUAUAGGGAUCCUUCAUGGUUCUGUGACAGUUUAGUUAUGCAUUCUGAAGGUAGUUGUCUCAUUUGUAUGCUCGGGUGAGUACAUUUUUGAUUAAGCUUCUGGUAGUAAGCAGUUGCUGUAUUCUGUUAAAAAUAUUGCUAAGCACACUGAACAGAGGACAGAACUGUUAAAAAGCAGCCAGGUUGUACUUAACAGACGAAUUCAGCCAAGAAUAAAUAUGAAAAUGAUUCUCUCCUGUUCCGCAAAAAAAUUAAUGCUGAUUUCCAAUGAAUCAAAUUUUUCUGGGAAAAUCUGAACUAAGCCAAUGACUGUAUCAAUCGGAAAUUCAAUCAAUAUAGACAAAAUCAUUGGCCCUACAGGUGUCCAACUCAUCAAGAUUCCACCAUGAUUACUUACAGUCCAUGAUGAUUGCACAGAGUUGAUGUAGUCUAUAAAUUCGUCCGACAAUGGAUCCUCUGGCGCAAAAGGUUGUGGUGGGCUAGCAUACGAUCCGACGGCACAAAGUCCUACCAGCGUCAGAAUUAGGUUGGUCAUGUUUGGAUAAA